AUACGGAGGGUGCAAGCGUUACUCGGAAUCACUGGGCGUAAAGCGCGCGCAGGCGGGCUGAUAAGUUGGAUGUGAAAGCCUACGGCUCAACCGUAGAACUGCAUCCAAAACUGUUAGUCUAGAGUCUGGUAGGGGAAGAUGGAAUUAGUUGUGUAGGGGUAAAAUCCGUAGAGAUAACUAGGAAUACCAAAAGCGAAGGCGAUCUUCUGGAACAGUACUGACGCUGAGGCGCGAAAGCGUGGGGAGCAAACAGGAUUAGAAACCCCGGUAGUCC
rnacentral:rRNA from 1 species